rnacentral:rRNA from 1 species
AGUAACCUGCCUUACACAAGGGGAUAGCCUCUGGAAACGGAGAAUAAUACCCUAUGACAUUACAGCCUCGCAUGAAGCAGUAAUCAAAGUGUUUAGCGGUGUAAGAUGGACUUGCGUCUGAUUAGCUAGUUGGUGAGAUAACAGCUCACCAAGGCAACGAUCAGUAGCCGGCUUGAGAGAGUGUACGGCCACAUUGGGACUGAGACACGGCCCAG